GAUGAACGCUAGCGGCAGGCUUAAUACAUGCAAGUCGAGGGGUCAGCAAUGACACCGGCGGACGGGUGCGUAACGCGUAUGCAACCUACCUACAUCAGGGGGAUAGCCCUAGGAAACUGGGAUUAACACCGCAUAAUAUUAUUAAUGGCAUCAUUGAUAAUUGAAAUAUUUAUAGGAAGUAGAUGGGCAUGCGUAAGAUUAGCUAGUUGGUAAGGUAACGGCUUACCAAGGCUACGAUCUUUAGGGGCUCUGAGAGGAGUAUCCCCCACACUGGCACUGAGAUACGGGCCAGACUCCUACGGGAGGCAGCAGUAGGGAAUAUUGGGCAAUGGAGGCAACUCUGACCCAGCCAUGCCGCGUGCAGGAAGACGGCCCUCUGGGUGUAACUGCUUUUGAAUGGGAAGAAUGGUGGCUUGCGAGCUAUAAUGACGGUACCAUUAGAAUAAGCCACGGCUAACUACGUGCCAGCAGCCGCGGUAAAACGUA
rnacentral:rRNA from 1 species